GUACAGUGGUAACACACCAAAAUACAGACGAAUACAAACACCAUGUCAGAGGUGGCAAACUAUGGCCAACUAAGCGACUGGUAGUUUCUCGAAAAGAAGUUAAUAAUGUAAUUUCAUGCCGUUUGAUAUAUUUAUGAAGUAUAACAAAGUAACAAUUCUUAAUUGCAGAAUUUUUCUCGCAAGGCUGUCCGUCCCGCGGCAUGUCGAUAGCAUAAUGAACUAUCGAUUUAUAAUCUAAAUUAAACGUCGCAGUUUAUUCAUCUAGUUGCGGUGUUUUAUUGACAGUCAAUACAACUCUGAAUUGUAAUGUUCACAACAGGAUGCUGAAAUAUAGUACUUAGCACAGGUGCUUAACGAAGCUCAUGCAGGUGGCCUGUGACGUAGAGUGAACAGGGGUUUCUCUGGUGUCACAGAGAAAUGACAUCCAUUCUACAGUAGUGCUUACAUUGCUCGAGAGGGCGAGUGUGCGACUGGUGGAGUCCCAUAAAGGUACAGGCAGACAAACUUGGCGGCACACUUAACAUGAACACCUGGGGAACAGCAACCAGUGUCUGACCGGUGAACGUGACCCAGAACAGGUCGGGCCCCACAGCCAUCGUCCUAACACAUGCUCCAGCUGCUGUACCCGUUGUUCGCAGAAGAGACAAGUGAUUGGUACGUGGUUCCGGUUAGAGCGCAUAGUCUGUUGUGGAUCGUGUUUCUGGAAGAUGGCACCAUGUAGUUGUAGGCAGUAUUUCCGACGUUUCGGUAAUAUUUACUGUUUACAUCUUCAAGGUUAAGUGCUACUACCAUUUGGCCCCUUCUAGUAUACUUAGAGCACAGUUCCACAUGUCUAUUAGAUCAGCUGUUGCGUCUGAUAUGUCGGAUGACAGCAAACAGAGAAUGAGUCAAUACCUUUACAGGGAGUUCUGAAUUGCGCAAUGUCUGGAACGGUGGAAAACGGGAGCUGGAGUAUGAAUAUGAUAAAAGAACCACGAAAAGAAAGAGAGCAAGGUGAAGACAAAGUGGGUGAGUUACGGAUUUCUGUCAUGGGCGUACGAAGUAGCGGAUCAAAUGUGUGGACUGAUGUAUCGGCCGAAAUCGCUUCUCCUUUAAGAUGGAGGUAUAAAUGGUCUCCGAAACAUUGGCAAUGCAGUGUAAAUCAACACGUUGCUGUCACCCAGAAAACAGGAACCAAAUUGGCACUGAACAAUCAUGAACGCCUGGAAUUUUCUGUUACGUGGUCUGCCACGUGAGCCACGCUGGACAAAGUUUUGGAUAUUAAGGGACUGUGACGCAGAUAACUAUUUAAGAAUCCUCUUGAAUUUAGAAGAAUCGUAACAGAACAUAUUACCCUUAUGAAUACAAGGCACUGAGGCCACGCUGUACCUACCGACCAUUGACAACAGACGGAAGACAGCAAAUUUCAUUCAUCGUUACAACUUCGGUAACACUUUGAAGUACAGUUUCAACGGAUGUUUGUUUAAAAAUCACCCAGAAAUUCCCAACGCUUUUGGAAAUGCGUUAGCAAUCUUAUUAUGAACAGUCAAGCUGGGUUACCUCAGUCGGUAAAGUAGUUCGCUACGGGCUGGGUGACCGGACUUCGUUUCCUAGUGCAUUCAGACAUUUUUCUGCUUUGAUUAGAGUUUUUAAUAAAAUAUUUUUUGAGUAUCCAUCAUAAUUACUUUCUGCUGAUUAUAUCUGUGAUCACUGUUGAAUUCCAGAUCGUAAUAUAAACUCAUUUCGAAAUUUUAUUAGAACUGAAGUCGGGAACAAAACUACACUGCAAUUUAUAAGCUGGUCGAAGUACCUGGUCUUUAGUAAUGUUAAGAAGAACAUUUUUACCUUUUUAUCGAGGAAAUUUGAGGCUGGAAAUAUUAGUGGCACGAAUGUGGCCAUAAAUAUCAUUGACGUCCAGUCGACGGCUGCGUUACCGACGUUGUAGUAGUUCAUUAUUUUCAUACCGAUGAUAGAGUAUUUUUUAAAAUAUAUAUUUCUUGUUAAACAUGACAAGCAGUGAAGUGCCAUUAGGAAGUUGUAGGCUAACAUCAGGUUUUAACUACAAAAGGAGUUAAAACCUGAUGUUACGAAGCUAAUCACACUGCACAAAAUUAGAUAUUAUUUUUUAUUCAGUUUUGUCAGAUAUUUACAAUUUUGAAAUAUUAUCGGAUUAUAAGUUAUAAACUUUAAUAUGAUGUGUAUACUGUGUUAUGUGCCAGCUUUUCACCACGACACUUCUAGAUCUAACAUUAAGAGUAGUGGUAAUGAUGGAUGGUGAUGUGG